ensembl:snoRNA SNORA73 Small nucleolar RNA SNORA73 family
ACAAAGUAUUUCUAACACACGGGAGCAUAGGGUACUGCCCGAUGAUGUACAGUCCCUUUCCACAACAUUGGAGAUGAAGCGGGGCUUCGAGUCUGCGCCUGCAUAUUCCUACGACUUCUCAGAGUCCUGUGGACCGUGACUGAGGAGACAAACCAUGCAGGAAACAGUC